rnacentral:rRNA from 1 species
CUUUGAUUAUGGCUCAGGAUGAACGCUGGCGGCGUGCUUAACACAUGCAAGUCGAACGAAGCAAUUGCGACAGAAGCCUUCGGGUGGAAGAUGUAAUUGACUGAGUGGCGGACGGGUGAGUAACGCGUGGGUAACCUGCCUUGUACAGGGGGAUAACAGUUAGAAAUGACUGCUAAUACCGCAUAAGCGCACAGUAUCGCAUGGUACAGUGUGAAAAACUCUGGUGGUACAAGAUGGACCCGCGUCUGAUUAGCUAGUUGGUAAGGUAACGGCUUACCAAGGCAACGAUCAGUAGCCGACUUGAGAGAGUGAUCGGCCACAUUGGGACUGAGACACGGCCCAAACUCCUACGGGAGGCAGCAGUGGGGAAUAUUGCACAAUGGGGGGAACCCUGAUGCAGCGACGCCGCGUGAGUGAAGAAGUAUUUCGGUAUGUAAAGCUCUAUCAGCAAGGAAGAUAAUGACGGUACUUGACUAAGAAGCCCCGGCUAACUACGUGCCAGCAGCCGCGGUAAUACGUAGGGGGCA